UCGCUUUCUAGCUCACGCCUGCGUGCAAGCCUCCCUCGUGCCAUGACCCUUGACCGCCAGUGCAGCACCCACCCUUGGAUGCUCGCCUACCUCGCGUGCGAGUCACGCCCUCGCUGCGACCGACAGAUGCACGCCGCAUGGCCCCGAGUACGCGAAUCGGAGAUCAGCAGUCGUCCGUCCUACAUGGGCUCGCCCCUAGAACCCUAGUCCUCAAGCUAUAAAGCUUCACAGCAGCCACACCCUCUCCAUUGUUGGGAUACGAGGUAGGCUACGCUAGCGCAAAUCAGAAUUUCUACCGCGUAAAACCAGGAAUAACUGCCGUAUAAGGAUCACGGGAUUACCACUCGACGCACUACUGGUGCGGAAGAUGUAGAUAUGCGUCGAUGCAGUGAAGACGAUCACGUAGUCGUACGUAGUCGAUCAACGUAGUCGUACGUAGUCGAUCACGUCCAGCAGCUUCUCAGCAGCUCGCCCACGUGCAACAAGAUCGCCUCCGGUGCCGCGGCUCGUCGGCGGCUCGUCGUGGCUCGUCGGCGGCUUGUCCAAGUGCUGCAGGCACAACACCUCCAAGGUAUCCACACGUGCAGGGAGGAAGCGUCGCAAGCCGGACUGCUAGAUCCGCGAGUUGCAACAGGCGAGGGCGUGGGAGGCGCGGCAGGUGUGUUUCGCCAAAAAGGUGUAAACCCUAGGGCGCCCCCACCCCUCUAUUUAUAGAGGUUCCUGACGGGCCUCUGGGUCCGAGGCCCAUUAGUACUUCUAAACCUAAUCCAACUCGGAUCAGAUCCGAAUUUGGGCUUCCAGCCCCUUAAGUGUGUGACCCUAUGGGUUCGGAUACGUAUAGACAUGGCCCGAGUACUCCUAUUCGGCCCAAUAGUCGGUAGCGGCCUCUAGCAAGAUGUGCCAACUCCUAUACGCACACGAAGAUCAUAUCAGACGAACCAUCACAACAUAAUAUACAUGCUAUUCCCUUUGCCUCACGAUAUUUGGUCUAGCUUCAAGCCGACCGCUCUUUCUCGAUCCUGUGAUUCGGAAUCCCUUUGUAGGUUAACUCUUAACCGUACGUAGCAUAGCCAUGCAUUUUCGGAUCCGAUCACUCGAGGGGCCCAGAGAUAUCACUCUCAAUCAGAGAGGGGCAAAUCCCAUCUUGAUUGACCAUGUCUCAUAGCAUGCUUCUUGACAAACCCGAAAGCUACCUUUAUAACUACCUUGUUACGGCGUAGCGUUUGAUAGCCCCUAAGUAGGUCGAUCCACAUCUAGAAUACAUGCGACAAUCUCAGGUCUAAGGACAAAGCGUAUAUGUUGUUUAAAGAGAGAACUACUUCUCGUGUUGGGUCAGUCCCAGCACAUGUCUCCACAUGUGUCCACAUUAUUAGUUCAACAUCUCCAUGUCCAUGACUUGUGAAACAAAGUCAUCAACUAAUAUAUGUGCUAGUCUAAUAUUCAUGUGUGUCCUCACAUGAACUCCGACUAGGGACAACUUUAGAAUAACCAUACAAGUAAAGAGUUUCACAUACAAUUCACAUAAUUGCAAAUCAAUUCAAGUAGCCUUUAAUGGAUAUUCAAUGAACACAAUAUACAAAUCAUGGAUACAAAUGGAAUAUCAUCAUCUCUAUGAUUGCCUCUAGGGCAUACCUCCAACAGUAUCCUACUUGCACUAGAGUCAAUCUAGAAGGUACCUAAUACCCAUAGCUCUUACAUGCGCAUCAUGCUUAGCCUGCGGGAGUGGUUUUGUCAACGGAUCAGAAAUGUUCAGAUCCAUGUGUAUUUUGCAUAUCUUGAUCUCACCCCGGUUAACGAAGUCUCGAAUGAGAUGAAAUCGCCGCAUUACGUGUUUGUUCUUCUGGUGGUUCCUUGGCUCCUUUGCUUGCGCAAUUGCCCCAUUAUUAUCACAGUAGAGAUUCAAUGGGCUGGACGCAUUCGGGAACACACCAAGCUCAAUGAGGAAAUUCCUUAUCCAAACACCUUCCUUCGCGGCUUCCGAAGCCGCGAUGUACUCGGCUUCUGUCGUAGAAUCGGCCACCGUCUCCUGCUUGGAACUCUUCCAACUAACAGAACCACCAUUCAGUGUGAACACAAAUCCUGAUUGUGACUUUGAAUCAUCUCUGUCGGUUUGGAAACUAGCAUCGGUGUAACCUGUUACAACGAGCUCCUCCUCACCUCCAUAGACGAGGAACAUAUCUUUAGUCCUUCUCAAGUACUUAAGAAUGUUUUUCACCGCUGUCCAGUGACUCUCACCUGGAUCAGAUUGGUGUCUGCUUGUCAUACUUAGCGCAUAUGAAAUAUCUGGGCGAGUACUUAUCAUUGCAUACAUGAUAGAUCCAAUAGCCGAGGCAUAUGGCACUCUACUCAUGUGAUCCCGCUCAUCAGCAGUCGAAGGACACUGAGUCUUGUUGAGAUGUAUGCCAUGUGACAUAGGCAAGAACCCUUUCUUUGCCUCUUCCAUGCUGAACCGCUUCAACACUUUGUCAAUGUAAGUAUCUUGGCUUAAACCUAUAAGCCUUCUCGAUCUAUCUCUAUAGAUCUUAAUGCCCAGAAUAUAUGCCGCUUCCCCUAAGUCCUUCAUCGAAAAACUAUUUUUCAGUGAAGUCUUUACGGACUCAAGCAUAGGAAUGUUAUUUCCAAUCAGUAAUAUGUCAUCCACAUAUAAGAUUAGAAAUACUACAGAGCUCCCACUAACCUUCUUGUAAACACAAGACUCUUCGUCGUUCUUGGUGAAGUCAAACCCUUUGACCACUUCAUCAAAACGAAUGUUCCAACUCCUAGAUGCUUGCUUCAAUCCAUAAAUGGAUCUCUCAAGCUUGCAUACCUUUCCAGCAUUUUUCGGAUCGACAAAACCCUCGGGCUGUAUCAUAUACACGUCCUCAGCUAGGUUUCCAUUCAGGAAAGCUGUCUUGACAUCCAUCUGCCAUAUCUCAUAGUCGAAAUAUGCAGUUAUAGCCAGAAUAAUCCGAAUGGACUUAAGCAUCACUACGGGCGAGAAGGUCUCGUCGUAGUCAACUCCUUGAACUUGUCGAAAACCUUUUGCGACAAGUCGUGCUUUAUAGAUGUGAACAUUUCCAUCCAUGUCCUUUUUCUUCUUAUAGAUCCACUUGCACUCUAUGGCUUUAACACCAUCAGGCGGGUCAACCAAGUUCCAAACUUGAUUGUCUCCCAUGGACUCUAUUUCGGAUUGCAUGGCACUCUGCCAUUUUUCGGAGUCUGGGUCCAUCAUUGCUUCUGCAUAUGUCGCAGGCUCAUCAUUGUCCAACAAUAAUAUUUCCCGCAUUUCGCGGAGCCUUGCUAACCUUCGUGGUUGUGGCGGUGCUUCUUUUGCCAUGGGUAUCUCAACUUGUUCUGCUACAUUAGCAUCACUCAUUGGUUCUUGCCCGAUCGGCUCAUCUUGAACUUCUUCAAGAUGCACUGUCUUUCCACUCUUUUCUCCUUUGAGAAACUCUUUCUCUAGGAAAACCCCGUUCUGAGCGACAAACACUUUGCCUUCUGAUCGGUUGUAGAAAUAAUAUCCCAAAGUUUCCUUUGGAUAUCCCACAAAAAUGCACUUAUCCAACUUGGGUGUGAUCUUGUCCGACUGAAGUCGCUUGACGAAGACUUCACAUCCCCAAAUCUUUAGAAAAGACAAACUAGGAACCUUUCCAGUCCAUAUCUCAUAUGGUGUCUUAACUACGGAUUUAGAUGGUACCCUAUUAAGUGUGAAAGCUGCUGUUUCUAGAGCGUAUCCCCAAAAUGACAACGGUAGGUCCGACUGGCUCAUCAUUGAUCGAACCAUGUCUAACAAAGUUCGAUUACAUCGCUCGGAUACACCGUUUCUCUGAGGUGUUCCAGGCGGCGUAAGUUGUGGAACAAUUCCGCAACUCUUUAGAUGAUUGCUAAACUCGUGGCUCAAAUACUCGCCUCCACGAUCAGAUCGUAAGGCCUUAAUUUUCUUGCCACGCUGAUUUUCAACUUCAUUCUGAAAUUCCUUGAACUUUUCAAAGGUUUCAGACUUGUGCCUCAUCAAGUAGACAUAGCCAUAUCUACUAAAAUCAUCAGUGAAAGUUAUGAAGUAUUGGAAUCCUCCUCUAGCUGUCGUGCUCAUUGGUUCGCAUACAUCACUAUGUACAAGUUCCAACAAGUCUACUGCUCUCUCAGGAAAUCCUGUGAAAGGCGUCUUGGUGAUCUUGCCUAGCAAGCAAGCCUCACAUGUCUCGUAUGAUUCAAAAUCAAACGAAGUUAGAAGUCCAUCAGAAUGGAGCUUCUUCAUGCGCUUUUCACUUAUAUGACCCAAACGACAAUGCCACAAGUAGGUAGGACUCAAAUCAUUAGGCCGAGGCCUUUUAGCACUUACAUUACAGACAGGUGAACCAUCAAGAUUUAAAACAAAUAAUCCAUUCACAAUGGGUGCAAAAGCCAUAAACAUAUUAUUCUUAGAGAUCACACAACCAUUGUUUUCACUCGCAAAUGAAUAACCAUCCUUCAUCAAGCAUGAAGGAGACAAAAUGUUUCGACUUAAACUAGGAACAAAAUAAGAAUUAUUCAACUCCAUAAUAAAUCCUGACGGGAGGUGGAGUUGCAUCGUCCCGACGGUCAACGCAGCAACUCUUGCAUUAUUGCCCACGCGGAAAUCAACUUCUCUUCUUUCCACGCUUCUACUUCUUAUCAUUCCCUGCAUCGAAUUGCAAAUAUGAGCAACCGAUCCGGUAUCAAAUACCCAAGAAUUAAUAAUUGUAUCAGCCAGAAAUAUGUUGUCUAUAACAUUAACAACAAGCGUACCUGAGGUAGAAGUACUCUUACCUCCGCCAUUCUUCAAGGAAGCUAGGUACUGCUUACAGUUUCUCUUCCAGUGACCAAGUUCAUGACAGUAAAAGCACUCUUUGUCUGGAACAGGUCCAGGUCCAGCUUUAACCUUGGGCGGUGGGUUUGGCUUGGACGUUCCAGCCUUGCCCUUCUUCUUCCAAGAAUUUCCCUUCUUCUUAAAGCUAGGCUUGUUUUGUAUAGCCAUCACAUGGCUGGUACUAGCGCUUUUCUUGAUGUCAGCCUCUGCUGUUUUAAGCAUGCCACACAGCUCAUUCAAACCCUUCUCCGUCCCAUGCAUAUGGUAGUUCGAGAUGAAGUUCCCAUAGCUAGGCGGAAGAGACGAAAGAAUGAAAUCAGUGGCCAACUCUUGGCCCAGUGGGAAGCCCAGCUUCUCCAACCGUUGAGUGUAACCAACCAUCUUGAUUACGUGUGGUCCUACUGCUGCGCCUUCUGCUAGCUUGCUCUCAACAAAGGCCUUAGACACAUUGAACCUUUCAGUCCUGGCCUGUGUUUGGAACAUGUCUCUAAGCGCCACGAUCAUAUCGUGCGCCUCAUGGUUUGUUUCAAACUGCAUCUGCAGCUCGGGUUCAAUGCAAGCAAGCAUAAGGCAGCUUACUUCGAGGUUAGCAUCACAUGCUUUCUUGUAAGCAUUCUUAGCAGCAGCGGGUGCAUCAUCAGCAGGUUCUUCUGGUAGUGGGUUGUCUAGAACAUCUUCCUUUUUCUCAGCCCUGAGAACAAUUCUCAGGUUACGGAUCCAAUCCGAGUAAUUUGUUCCAUUCAACUUGUCCUUCUCAAGGACCGAACGCAAAGCAAACGGUGUAGUGCUGCUAGGUGCCAUUUAAUCUACAACAAAGUAAUGCAAAAUACACUAAGACAAACGUAUCCAUGAUAGAGUAAAUCAUAUUAAACUAUUUUAACAGAAUCUACUCCCACUAAAAUCAAUAUCCCUCUAUUGAAACUUAGUGAUUCAGGAUCCACAACUAACAAGUCUACUAGUGAGCUUUAGCAUCACCGCUAGCAAACGAGGUAGAUCGGUAAGCAACUUUUGCUAAUCAUAUCACAUAUGACUCCUGUUGUUGGGUGACAUCUCUAUGUCUCGGCGCCCAACCUUUAUGCCCCAAGGUCCUUAACCGUUAAGACAACCUUGUUAAGAAAACCAACUCUUAUGCGUGUAAGUGUCCGACACAAACCCGUCUAGUCAAGGAAAACUAGUGGCACCCUAAUUUCAUAGACCCACCACUAAUUGUACAAGACAUGGGACGGUGCAAGUUUUAGUUGGGAGGGCAUACUAACUUAAACUUUGUGAGGGAUUGUUCUACUUCUAACAUCACAGCAUGCAGAAAGUAAAACAUAAACAGAAUAGCAUUCACACAGUUGUGACACAGUAUGGCCCAUUUUCAUAUGGCGAUCUCCAUCUCCAUAGAAUCUGUUCACCAUGGUGAUCUCCAUCUCCAUGUUCCAUGUGCGCCAUCCUUCUAGUGAUGAGUCCUCCAAGAACUAGAACAUGCUAUUGCGCCUAAUAGCUAGUAAGGAAGCUAGUAAUGAAGAUUACAUAGUUGCUUGGAUCAUCACAGAUUGGUACGCAGACCAUUAAAUACAUUAAGGUGACAACACUUAUGGCUCCUGUCGUGUUGCCGUACGCGGGACACGCAGGUCACGAAUGAGUUACAAACAUGCAUCACAUACACAAAGGGGCCAUACUGAUCACAAGAUACAUACAUCUUGCAAAACAGAGUUAGGCGUUCUAACGUUCCAAACUUCAGAGGCCCGAAACUCCAUCUUAGAGGCCGAAUUUGGGAAAUCUAAUCACGUGUAACUUUUUCUGUAGAUCAAUUUUCAUAUACAAUUCGCCUCGAUCCGAGAUCGUACCGAAAAGUUACGGCUGUUUUACCGAAGCACAUGCACACGGCAAAAUUCCGACCCCGGUAGUAGAUCCCAUCUACUAUUGCACAUCUCAUGCGCCUGGCGUAUGAACCUGGAUUUCGAUUCGACCAAUCACAUUGAUCUUUGCUCACUACAACUGGAAUUACGUGUAUCACUUAACUCCGAUGGCGGAAACCGACCGGUAGGAGUAUGUCGUUACACUACCAUUGCAGCAAGGGCACGAAACCAGGACAUAGAUCAAACGGAAAACUCGCAUAUCUCCAUAUGCACACAUCCCGAAUCCAAAACUAAGCAGCUACGGCUCUGAUACCACUGUUGGGAUACGAGGUAGGCUACGCUAGCGCAAAUCAGAAUUUCUACCGCGUAAAACCAAGAAUAACUGCCGUAUAAGGAUCACGGGAUUACCACUCGACGCACUACUGGUGCGGAAGAUGUAGAUAUGCGUCGAUGCAGUGAAGACGAUCACGUAGUCGUACGUAGUCGAUCAACGUAGUCGUACGUAGUCGAUCACGUCCAGCAGCUUCUCAGCAGCUCGCCCACGUGCAACAAGAUCGCCUCCGGUGCCGCGGCUCGUCGGCGGCUCGUCGUGGCUCGUCGGCGGCUCAUCGGCGGCUCGUCCAAGUGCUGCAGGCGCAACACCUCCAAGGUAUCCACACGUGCAGGGAGGAAGCGUCGCAAGCCGAACUGCUAGAUCCGCGAGUUGCAACAGGCGAGGGCGUGGGAGGCGCGGCAGGUGUGUUUCGCCAAAAAGGUGUAAACCCUAGGGCGCCCCCACCCCUCUAUUUAUAGAGGUUCCUGACGGGCCUCUAGGUCCGAGGCCCAUUAGUACUUCUAAACCUAAUCCAACUCGGAUCAGAUCCGAAUUUGGGCUUCCAGCCCCUUAAGUGUGUGACCCUAUGGGUUCGGAUACGUAUAGACAUGGCCCGAGUACUCCUAUUCGGCCCAAUAGUCGGUAGCGGCCUCUAGCAAGACGUGCCAACUCCUAUACGCACACGAAGAUCAUAUCAGACGAACCAUCACAACAUAAAAUAUACAUGCUAUUCCCUUUGCCUCACGAUAUUUGGUCUAGCUUCAAGCCGACUGCUCUUUCUCGAUCCUGUGAUUCGGAAUCCCUUUGUAGGUUAACUCUUAACCGUACGUAGCAUGGCCAUGCAUUUUCGGAUCCGAUCACUCGAGGGGCCCAGAGAUAUCACUCUCAAUCAGAGAGGGGCAAAUCCCAUCUUGAUUGACCAUAUCUCAUAGCAUGCUUCUUGACAAACCCGAAAGCUACCUUUAUAACUACCCUGUUACGGCGUAGCGUUUGAUAGCCCCUAAGUAGGUCGAUCCACAUCUAGAAUACAUGCGACAAUCUCAGGUCUAAGGACAAAGCGUAUAUGUUGUUUAAAGAGAGAACUACUUCUCGUGUUGGGUCAGUCCCAGCACAUGUCUCCACAUGUGUCCACAUUAUUAGUUCAACAUCUCCAUGUCCAUGACUUGUGAAACAAAGUCAUCAACUAAUACAUGUGCUAGUCUAAUAUUCAUGUGUGUCCUCACAUGAACUCCGACUAGGGACAACUUUAGAAUAACCAUACAAGUAAAGAGUUUCACAUACAAUUCACAUAAUUGCAAAUCAAUUCAAGUAGCCUUUAAUGGAUAUUCAAUGAACACAAUAUACAAAUCAUGGAUACAAAUGGAAUAUCAUCAUCUCUAUGAUUGCCUCUAGGGCAUACCUCCAACAUCCAUCUCUCCCAAGCCACCACCGCAACCUUCCUGCUCUCUUUCUCCCUUCUCUGUUCUUCCUUCACGGUGAAGCAGUUGCUCUGUUCUUUUCUCCUUCCACCGCAAGCUACUUCCUACCCUUCUCCAAUCGAACAGCAAGAAGCCUAGCAGCAGCACCAGUACAUGGCGCCCCCUCCAAUCCUCUCUCUCUCCCUCGAAUCCAAGUAGCAGCUGCUCCUUUCUUUUCUCUCCUUUUUCUAAUCAGAGCAGAGCAAGAACAGACUAGCUCCAACCCAAGCACAAGCCGCCGCCCCUGCCCUUGAACUGUGGCAUGCUGGUGGGAGCUCGCCCAGUGGGCCGUUCAUCCCUCGAUGUCGUCAACCGCCGGUCGAGGCUUGUGCUAGCGACGAAAGGCUAUGGCUUUUGCCUCGUCUAGCACCCAGAGAGCCAGCACGGGCAUGCAGGCUGCAGCAGCGCCACGCUGUCGCCAGCCACAAACCGGAGGAACCAAAGGUGGUGGCUGGAGCGAGGAGCCGGACGCACAAAGGAAGACGUCGUCCGCAAGCUCAUUAUUUAUUUUUGCGUCACAUCUUGUUUAUGUUUGUAGACCCGAGCUGCGAUGAUCGAUGUUUUACCUUUCUUGAUUCAGUCCUGAUAGACUUGUACCGGCAUGUGCCGAAGAUAUGUACUCAUUACUUAUGUUAUUUAUGAUAUCUGUACUCUAUUGUUGCUAUAUAUUUCUGUGUUGGUAUGGAUUUUUACUACAUGAGAUAGGGAUUCGCACGUGAUAGACUUCCUCAGACUAUCACCGAGGUGCGUAGGCUUGAAUUCUCAGAAUUGGAAAUUCGGGUCUGUUUCAGCUAGUAUCAGAGCCAUACUUGACCGU
rnacentral:lncRNA from 1 species